GUCGAGCGGACUUUCNUCGGUGCUUGCACCUUUGAAAGUUAGCGGCGGACGGGNGAGUAACACGUGGGUAACCUACCCUGNANAUUGGGAUAACUCCGGGAAACCGGGGCUAAUACCGAAUAACACUUUUGACCUCAUGGNCGAAUGUUNAAANACGGUUUCNGNUGUCNCUACNGGAUGGGCCCGCGGCGCAUUANCUAGUUGGNGAGGNAACGGCUCACCAAGGNAACGAUGCGUAGCCGACCUGAGAGGGUGAUCGGCCNCNCUGGGACUGANACNCGGCCCANACUCCUACGGGAGGCAGCAGUAGGGAAUCUUCCNCAAUGGACGAAAGUCUGAUGGANCAACNCCNCGNGAGUGAANAAGGAUUUCGGUUCNUAAAACUCUGUUGCAAGGGAANAACAAGUAGCGUANUAACUGGNGCUACCUUGACGGUACCUUGUUANAAAGCCACGGNUAACUACGUGCCAGCAGCCGCGGUAAUACGUAGGNGGCAAGCGUUGUCCGGAAUUAUUGGGCGUAAAGCGCGCGCAGGUGGUUUCUUAAGUCUGAUGUGAAAGCCCACGGCUCAACCGUGGAGGGUCAUUGGAAACUGGGAAACUUGAGUGCNGAAGANGAUAGUGGAAUUCCAAGUGUAGCGGUGAAAUGCGUAGAGAUUUGGANGAACACCAGUGGCGAAGGCGACUAUCUGGUCUGUAACUGACACUGAGGCGCGAAAGCGUGGGGAGCAAACAGGAUUAGAUACCCUGGUAGUCCAC
rnacentral:rRNA from 1 species